rnacentral:rRNA from 1 species
GGGGGGACCAUCCUCCAAGGCUAAAUACUCGUGAUCGACCGAUAGCGUACCAGUACUGUGAAGGAAAGGUUAAAAGAACCCCGGGAGGGGAGUGAAAUAGAUCCUGAAACCGCAUACAUACAAACAGUAGGAGCCUCGUUAAGGGGUGACUGCGUACCUUUUGCAUAAUGGGUCAGCGACUUACGUUUAAUGGCGAGCUUAACCGUAUAGGGGAGGCGCAGCGAAAGCGAGUUCGAACAGAGCGUUCAGUCGUUAGGCGUAGACCCGAAACCAGAUGAUCUAUCCAUGGCCAGGUUGAAGGUGUGGUAACACACACUGGAGGACCGAACCGACUAGUGUUGCAAAAUUAGCGGAUGAGCUGUGGAUAGGGGUGAAAGGCUAAACAAAUCUGGAGAUAGCUGGUUCUCCCCGAAAACUAUUGAGGUAGUGCCUCGUGUAUGACUCCAGGGGGUAGAGCACUGUUAUGGCUAGGGGGACAUGGCGUCUUACCAAACCAUGGCAAACUCCGAAUACUUGGAAGUUUGAGCACGGGAGACAGAGCACCGGGUGCUAACGUCCGGACUCAAGAGGGAAACAACCCAGACCGCCGGCUAAGGUCCCUAAUAUUGACUAAGUGGAAAACGAAGUGGAAAGGCUAAGACAGUCAGGAAGUUGGCUUAGAAGCAGCCAUCCUUCAAAGAAAGCGUAAUAGCUCACUGAUCGAGUCUUUCUGCGCGGAAGAUGUAACGGGGCUAAGUCAAUAACCGAAGCCGCGGAUUCACACUUGUGUGUGAGUGGUAGGGGAGCGUUCUGUAAGCCUGCGAAGGUGACUCGUAAGGGUUGCUGGAGGUAUCAGAAGUGCGAAUGCUGACAUGAGUAACGUUAAAGCGGGUGAAAAGCCCGCUCGCCGUAAGCCCAAGGUUUCCUGCUCUACGUUCAUCGGAGCAGGGUGAGUCGGCCCCUAAGGUGAGGCUGAGAAGCGUAACUGAUGGGAACAAGGUUAAUAUUCCUUGACCACCGCUGAAUGCGAAGGGGGGACGGAGUAUUGAAGAUCAUCCGGGUGUUGGAUAUCCCGGUUUGCGAGCGUAGGAGGCUGACAGGCAAAUCCGUCAGCGAAUCUCCGAGGCGAAGCAUCGAGCUCUCUUUUGAGCGAAGUGAUUGGAUGUGCUUCCAGGAAAAGCCUCUAAGCUCCAGUUCAGCGGGACCGUACCGCAAACCGACACUGGUGGGCGAGCUGAAUAUGCUCAGGCGCUUGAGAGAACUCAGGAGAAGGAACUCGGCAAAUUGACACCGUAACUUCGGGAUAAGGUGUGCCUUUGUAGCGUGGAGGGAGAAACACCCCGAGCGCGAAGAGGUCUCAGAUAAUCGGUGGCUGCGACUGUUUAUUAAAAACACAGCACUCUGCAAAGACGAAAGUCGACGUAUAGGGUGUGAUGCCUGCCCGGUGCUGGAAGAUUAAUUGAUGGGGUGCAAGCUCCUGAUCGAAGUCCCAGUAAACGGCGGCCGUAACUAUAACGGUCCUAAGGUAGCGAAAUUCCUUGUCGGGCAAGUUCCGACCUGCACGAAUGGCAUAACGAUGGCCACACUGUCUCCUCCUGAGACUCAGUGAAGUUGAAGUGUUUGUGAUGAUGCAAUCUCCCCGCGGCUAGACGGAAAGACCCCAUGAACCUUUACUGUAGCUUUGCAUUGGACUUUGAACCGAUCUGUGUAGGAUAGGCGGGAGCCUGUGAAACCACAACGCCAGUUGUGGCGGAGGCGUCCUUGAAAUACCGCCCUGAUUUGUUUGAGGUUCUAACCUGGGACAGUUAUCCUGUCCGGGGACCGUGCAUGGUAGGCAGUUUGACUGGGGCGGUCUCCUCC